CACCUGUACCCAUGCCGAACACAGAAGUUAAGCCCUAGAACGCCGGAAGUAGUUGGGGGUUGCCCCCUGUGAGAUAUGGAAGUCGCUUAGC
rnacentral:rRNA from 1 species